GCGCCGCCCAACCGGAGAGGUGGCAGCGGCCGGAAGAAGACUGUCAUCCGCCGGAUCGAGCAGAAGGAUGCCCGGCACAUCAGCUACUCCAAGCGCCGCGGGGGGUUCUUCACCAAGGCCAGCGAUCUGGCGGUCCUCACCGGCGCCCAGGUAGCCGCCCUCGCCUUCUCCCCCGGCGGCAACGUCUUCUCCUUCGGCCACCCCUCCAUCGACUCCGUCGUGGAACGUUUCCUGGCGUCGGAGGGUGUGGGGGCUGGCGCGAGGGAGGAGAGCGCUGCCGACGACCGCUUGCUGGAGCUACGCACGGAGCUGGUCGAGGUGAAGAAGCAGGCCAAGCGCAACAAGGAGGCCAUGGCCAAGGAGCGCGCCGCGGGGGACCAGAUUGCGGCUUGGUUUGACCCGAAGAUGCGCGACAUGGGGGACGGGGACAUGGCGGCCUUCUUUGCGGCGCUGAUGCAGGUAAAGGGCGUCGUCUCCGAUCGCGCCAACCAGGUUCUCCUCGAGGCGUUU
rnacentral:rRNA from 1 species